rnacentral:rRNA from 1 species
UUGACGGUACCCUACUAGAAAGGAGCCGCUAACUUCGUGCCAGAAGCGUCGGUAAUACGGGGGCUCCAAGCGUUAUCCGGUGUUAUUGGGCGUAAAGAGUCGUGUAGGUGGUUGGGUAAGUUAUCUUUCAAAUAUCUUUGCUUAACAAAGAGGAGGGGGAUAAUACUGCUCGACUAGAAUUUUCUCAAGGGAGAUCGGAACUGAGGGAGGAGUAGUGAAAUGCGUUGAUACCCUCGGGAACACCAGUGGCGUAGGCGGAUCUCUGGGAGAAGAUUGACACUGAGACACGAAAGCUAGGGGAGCGAAGCAGAUUAGAGACCUGCGUAGUCCUAGCCGUAAACGCAUGCUUGCUAGCUGCAUGAAUCUACCUUCGGGUGGUAUCGUGUGGCGAAGGUAACCCGUUAAGCAAGCCGCCUGGAAAGUACGGCCGCAAGGCUGAAAUUCAAAGGAAUUGGCGGGGAGGCACACAACCAGUGGAACAUGUGGUUUAAUUCGAGACUAACCGAAGAACCUCACCAGGGUUUGACAUGUAGCUGCACGUCUUAAGAAAUUAAGACUCUCUUGAAGGUGCUACACAGGUGCUGCAUGGCUGUCGUCAGCUCGUUCCGUGAGGAGUGCCCUUAAGUGGGACAACGAGCGCAACCCCUAUUACAUGUUAGAAAUGUCAUGUAAGACUGCCUUGCCAUUUGGCGGGGAGGAAGGAGGGGCAGACGUCAAGUCCGCAUGGUCCUUAUGCCCUGGGCUACACACAUGUUACAAUGAGUACGGCAAUGAGCCUGUCGCGAGCACGUAAGUGUAAGCUAAUCUCUUAAAUGUACUCUCAGUGGGGAUUGAGGUCUGCAACUCGACCUCAUGAACACGGAAUUGGUAGUAAUCGCGGGUCAGCUAUACCGCGGUGAUACGUUCUUGCCUCUUGCACACACCGCCCGUCAAACCAGCAAAGU